GGCUAUGAUCCGCCAUUAUUAAAAGUGACUUGCUAGUGUGAAGGUGCGUUUUUUCUGUCUUUCGCGUUAGAAGUGAAAAAUAGUGUCAUUUAUUUAAUUAGUAAAAAGUGUAAAAAACACAUUUACAAACAUAUUUAUUCAUAGAAAUAUAUAAUAAUAAUUUUUCAUCAUUUCGAAAUCAAGAGAUACAACACAAAAAAUGCCACGCUAUCGUGAAUGGGAUUUGGCAUGCAAAGUUUAUGUGGGUAAUUUGGGAUCUUCCGCCUCAAAAUAUGAAAUUGAAAAUGCUUUCAGUAAAUAUGGUCCUUUGAGAAAUGUGUGGGUGGCACGUAAUCCACCAGGUUUCGCCUUCGUUGAAUUCGAAGAUAGACGUGAUGCUGAAGAUGCAACCAGAGGUUUAGAUGGCACACGUUGCUGUGGUACGCGCAUACGUGUUGAAAUGUCCUCUGGCCGUUCUCGUCGUGACAAUAGACGCCGUGGUGGCACCAGCAGUGGUGGACGCGGUGGUGGUGGCGAAAGUAGCAGUGGUGGUCGUGGCGGCGGUGGCCGUUACAGGAUAAAGACAACUUCUGCUUCUACUACUACCUCUACUCGUACUACAAGUACUUCUACUACUACCAACUCCUCUUCCUACUACUACUACUUCUACAACAAACCAAUCAACAACUUCAACAACAACGACUACAACUUCUACUAUUACUGCUACAACAACAGAAACAAAUUCACCAAAACUAUUAUUCAAAUUCCUUUCAUCAAAACUACUAAUAAAACUCUCAACAAAAACAACACUAAACAACAUACUACACACCACCACAGCAACAACUACACGAUAUUAGAAACUUUCAAAAUCAGUUACCGACAUAUUACUUUCAUUUCACUCAUAUUUCAGUUAAAAAAACAAAAUUCAAUCAUACGUAAUAUAAUCAAUUAUAUAUUAGUUAUUUUAAUUAUCAUCGACCAUUUAAAUAAAUUAAACAAUCUUUAUCAUCAUGAGCCAACGACACAGACUUUUUUAGGGGAACUUUUGGAAAUUGACGUAAAUGUAGUUGUUGUUGUCGUCGUUUGUAAACAAUCAAAUCAUCAAAAUAUCAACAAUCACCAAAACCACCACCACCACAACCAACACCACCAAAAACAUCUCUUCAAUUGUAGUAGAUUCCCGCAACUUAACUGUUGUAAUACUUCCUUCAAAUCAUCAACUUCAACGUUGACAAUUUUGUAUACUCCUUCAUCAGCAACUUCAACUGCUUCUUCUUGUACUUCAGUCGCCAUUAUAAGCACCAACAAAAAAAUUACUACUACUAAAAACAUCACAAUAAUCACCAAUACAACUACCUCUGCUACUACUACCACCACCACCAAUAUCAAUAUUAACUCGCCCCCCUUUAACAGUAGUAAACAAAUUAUUAACAACACCACCACAAGUACCACAUCCACCACCACUACCACUUCUACAGUCAAAACCUUUUUAAUUCAACUUGCUCUUCUACUUGUACUUCAAAUGCUGCAAUUCCACGCAGUUUAUUAUUACUAUUAUUAUUGGUCGUCUACAGCUGCCGCCUUAUUUGGGUUUUUGGCUUGUUUAUCUUUACUGAACAACAUAUCAACAACUCAAUUAGCAGCAGCCGUCUUCUUCCAACAACUACAACCACCACAACCACUUCUACUACAACAAUCAACCACAAUCACCAUUAUUAGCCUUAAAAAAAUCAUCAUUUUCACCAAUAUUAUAGAAAAAAACUACAAGAACACUUCAACAAGUCUUCUUUCAAAAAAACAAUCAAUCAGCAACGGAUUAUCAUCAUCAUUUGACAGUUAAUAGACUAAUACAACUACUGAGACUACUGAGUACUUGAGUGGUUUGUGUCAUUUCUGUAAGAUUUGAAAGUCGAUUUCAACAAUUGAGUAAACCUGUUGAUGAUGAACUUGUCACAAGUAUUUUUUUACUGCUUCUGAAAAGAAGUCCAACCUACAUACAUACAUAUAGUACUACAUGGUCGGUCCGUUAAAGUACAAAAAGAAUUGAAUUUUAAAUGCGUAAUUUAUUUCGUUUAAUAAUUUUUUUCGUAAUAGACAAGAUACGACAAGAUAUUGGACAUUUACGACUUUUUGUUGUGGCUUGUUUUGCAAAAUGUGUUGUUAAAUAGUUUGAUUGUCAAUGUGCUAGUGAAAGCACAAAAUCAAACGUCCUUAUUUAAAACGACUACAAGUGCUACGUCCCAGUCCCAGCUUUUGUUUUGAGAGCAACGAAUAAUCAACCAACACUUCUUCAUUUCUUCAAAUUCACAUCGCGACCACAAGAUCAACCAUCCCAUCUAAAAAUCAACGUGUCUUCUAUUCGAUUGAUCGAUCGUAUUUAAUGAAGGGUAUAGUAUGAAUAAAUUUUCUCAUGUCUGAAGAAAGUAUUAUUUUUUUAGAUAAUAUUCAAAAUCAAAUAUUUUCUCGUUUAUUUUUAUAAAUUAACUUCUACUCUAAAUUGAUCAGAGUGUGUGUUAAAUUAAUUGCGCUUUACUCUCUAGAAAAGAUUCGUAAAGUUUUUGUGUACUACAUAUCUUUUUUUAUAUUACUCGAUAUAAUUACAAUAACAUUUUUUAUAUUUUUAUUUUUUUGUUUUUCUAUUCAAACAAAACAAAUGAGUGUUAUUGAACGGCACAACAUUGAACAUAAAAAUCUUGCGUGAAAUUUGAAUUGAUCAUCAUGCUUUAUGAAUCUAUAACAUCUGCCACAUCGUUCGCUUUUGGAACACUUCAAUCAACAACACAUACUAGAACAAUUAUAAAGUUAACACAAUCAACACUUUGAAAUAAUGUCAUCAUUAUUAGCAACAGCAUUAUAUUAGAGGUUUCUCUUCCAUUUAUUUUCUCCAACACAACAGACAUCAUCUUCAAGUAGUAAUAAUUUCUUUUGAGAAAAUUUCAAAUCUAAACUUCAAAAUUUUUGCCAACUACUAUCUACCAGCUUUAAAAAUAAUCGUCAUUCUACAACAAUGGGGAGCAAAAUGUAAAAGCGUGUAUUUGUGUAUUUAAUUGUUGAAUUUUGCCAUGGGUCGGUCGGUUGUCUUCACUACUCUACUACUACAUCCUUUUGCCCUUAAUUCCUACAACAUUUAGAAAAACUUAUAUAUAAAUAACUGCAACAAAAAUAUCAUCAAAACCAACCAAAUCAAAAUCAAUCAACACCAAAUCCUACCAAUAUCUAAAAUCAACCAAUCAACCAACCAAUCAGCAAUCGUCACAACAAGCAAAUCUUAAUUUAGAAAAAAAUGAAAUCAAUAUUGUUUGAGUAUCUCGACAUCAUUAUUAUUUAAAGAAUUUAUCUUCUCACUGCCACAAGUAUAAAAAUCAACAACCAUUUACCACCAUACAAAAAAAAUCAAUCAACAAUUAAUCAACCAAAACAACAAAAUUGUGAUCCCGCUCGCCCAGACGCAGUUCUCGAUCCCGCUCCCGCAGCUUUUCACGUGACAGACGUAGCCGAUCGGAUUCACGUGAUCGUCAUUAAAACUAAUUAAAACUUAUAAUUUGUUUGCUUAAUUAUAAAAUUAAAAAAAAAAAAAAACAUAUGCAAUGUUUACAGAUAAUGAAUUCUCAAGCAGAAAAAAUGAAAUUCAUUUAAAACUUAAAUAAGAAAAAAAAAAAAAAACAUUUUUUUCGUCCGUGGAUAUAAAAACCUUUUAUUUUUUUAUUUCUCUAUUUUUAAUUGUAUAAAAACUAUUUUUCGUUUAUUUUCAGUAUGAAAAUAUUCGCAUAUAUGUUCUUUACAUAUUUUUUCUCUUAAUCUUAAGUUAAGUAUGUACAUGUACCAUUUUUAUCAUAAUGUAAGUAGUUAUUUUUUUCAAACUCCUCAUAAUUGAUUUAACUACUAAUUGUGUACACAAUUAUGUCUACACAACAAUAUUAAAAUUUGCCAAGUUUUAUUUAAAAUAUUAGUGUGUUUAUUAAUCAUCAUUUAAAAAUCAACAACACAACUACUACCAACUUAACUGCUCCAAACAACAGAAAAAAUACAUCAAAUCACUUCACUCUAUCAGUUUACAAGUUACACAUGAGGUAAAUUCAAUUUUUUUUUUAUUUUUAAUAAUGUAGUAUUGGAAACAUAAUUUUAAACAUUUUAGUGAUUUUUAGAAAUAAAACCUAUAUAAAUAAAAAAAAAAAAAUGUA